AUUAAUGCCAAUUACAAAAGGGCUUGAAGCUCUGAGUUCAAUCUCUUUCUCUCCCUCACUCCCUCGGACUCUCUUGUCCUUCCAGGUCCAGCCAUGGGAUGAUGCAGCAAGGAGGCCCUCACCAGAUGCCAGCCCCUUGAUCUUGGACUACCCAGCCUCCAAAACUUGUCUGUGCUGCCAAAGCAAGCCCGUAAUAGGAUCUUUUAAAUAGGAUCAUGACUAAACUUGACGAUGAGACAGCAAGAAACUCUGAAACCUGCACCACGAAGUUCUCCAGUUGUCAUCUGGCCAACACAAGACCAGGCUUUUUACAUCUACUCCCUCCAAUCGUCGGAGCAACCUUGCAAGGUAGGAAUUUUUAUCCUCAUAUUCGAAAUUUGAAAACCAAGAAGACAGGAGAUUCUGAAGCCUAUCCACGGUGAUACAAUAGAAACAGGUCACCUGCCUGUGGUCUUAGCUACUUGGGAAGUUGAGGCGGGAGGAUCCUGAGCUCAGGAAGUCGAAGCUACAGUGAGCCAUGUUCACACCACUGCACUCCAGCCUGGGUGACAGAGGGAGACCCUGUCUCAAGAAAAAAGAACAAGAAAAGUGACAAUGUCAAGUAAAGUGUUACUGUAUUUCUGUAGUUAGCUCCAACUUCCUUUGAAGUAAAUUCUGCUACUUGUUUACUCUUUGCACUAUACAGGAAAAAGAUACCUCUUGGAUUAAUGCCAUCAACCUACCUUCUAUGCAACUUCAUAUCCUGCCUUUUAUGCUAAGAAACCCCCUGGAACCACCCAUGAGCAUCUCAGUUCCCCUGCACCUUGACCAUGCUCACUUUCUCAUCUGCUCACUUCUUCUUCAUCCAGCCAGGCCUACCCACUCUUCAUGGCCCAAUUCAAGCCUCAGCUUCCCAGUGAAACCUUUCUCAAACACAUGGAUUUCUCCUUUUCCUGGUUUCUCAUAGUACCUACUGUCUUAUAAUUCUAGAGACCAUAUCAUAGUUAUUAUUGUCAUGUGUGUGCUUUAUUCCCUCAGCUAUAUUAUAGGACCAUUAGAACAAGUUUCUUAUCUUAAAUGGUUUUGAGUUUCACCUCGGUCAAUGCCUUGCAUAAAAUAUGCACUCAAGAGGCAUUCCAUUGAUUGAUACAAAGUCUAUUAGUCUCUAAGAACAUGAAUGUCUUGUUUCAUCAUUAAUAUUUUAUUUUUAUUAAGCCAUGGUUAGACAUUCAGACAUGUGAAAUGGAGAGAUUCACCACUUAAUAUCUCAAAAUAUUCUUGAGUUAAGAAUCUCUAAUCAUAGGAGGAGUUGUUGUCGCCUUAAGAGAUUAAUUGAAAAUAGCAUUUGGCUAUAAAUUUCUAUGCCAGCUUCCUUUUAAUCCUGUGCUGACUUUAAAGUACACCAAACAUUUCCGUGAUCAUCUCUAGACGAUAAUUCUGAUGUAGAAACAACCUAAUUUGUCAUGGGGACUAUCUUACUUUUAGUAACCUAGUAAGUUUUUUCCUACCUUCAUGUCCAACUAUCUAUAAUUCACAGUACAACCACUGAAAAGUUUGGGUAUUUUACUUUCUGAAGUAAUACCUGCCUUCACUGGUCCCUCCCACAAUUAAUUACAUUCGGUUCUCAGAUUUCAUUCCUUCCUCUUAAAGUAAACAAACAAGGCGGGGCACGGUGGCUCACGCCUAUAAUCCCAGCACUUUGGGAGGCCGAGGCGGGUGGAUCACAAGGUCAAGAGAUCGAGACCAUCCUGGUCAACAAGGUGAAACCCCGUCUUUACUAAAAAUACAAAAAUUAGCUGUGCAUGGUGGUGCACGCCUGUAGUCCCAGCUACUCGGGAGGCUGAGGCAGGAGAAUUGCUUGAACCCAGGAGGCAGAGGUUGCCGUGAGCCGAGAUCAUGCCAUUGCACUCCAGUCUGGGUAACAACAGCGAAACUGUCUCAAAAAAAAAGGAAACAAAAACGAGGCAUACUGAGGAAUCAUAAAAAUGGGCAUUUUUGUAAAACGCUCUCCUAAUCAAACCUGCUAUCCUGAGAUAUUUUCUCUUGCAAGCAAAAGCACCGAGGAGACAACGGGGGAAAGUACCAGAAGGAAAGGAAGCAAGAGAGGCAUACUUGGCCGAUCAAACUGACCCGGGUUCUAGCCCCCGCUAGGAGUAAGCAAUGACAACCGCUACCCAUACGCUGCCGAUUCCCGCUCAGGCGCUCCCUGGACUUUUCUUUCCUCUUCCCCCAGCAGGGCCCGAAUGACCCGUGUCCGUGCUCUGCGCCAAGGUGUGCAGUGCUACGGGGUCUCGCACGGAGAUGACCUCAGACCGCUUGGCCUGCGUCCGGGCAGGCUUUCCCUCAGGCUCCGCAGCCCCCACCCAGGCGAGGUCAUCCAGGCUGGAGUGCAAUGGCGCGAUCUCGGCUCACCGCAACCUCCUCCUCCUGGAUUCAAGCAGUUCUCCCGCCUCAGCCUCCUGAGUAGCUGGGAUUACAGGCACGGGGGAUUACAGACUUCAGCCACCGCGCCCGGCCAGAAUUUAAACUUAAUUUCUCAACAAAGCCUGGGUGGAGGUCUCUAAACUACAACCUUGGAUCCAAAGGCCCUACCUUACUAAGGGAAGAAAGUUUGCCCUAACAAAAAGGCUUCUGGGAGGAGCUGCCUAAGGCAGGAAGGCGCUGGCAGGCCGGGAAGUACGGCCUUUGGCUGGGGCCAGUUCUCUGAGGUCGGCCUGACUGCAUAGGCAGCCAGUAAAGGAGAGAGCAGACCGGUCUGUAAGAUUUGGAUCAACUGAGUUUCGGCGGCUUCCUAAGAGUUAUUACGUUAACAAAAAUAAAAAGUGCAGUUGCUGGAAAACUGGUCAGCUGUUUAGUAAGAACUCUGCUGGCAUUAAACCCGGCACCAACCCCUGGAAGCGGUGAGGUCGAGAGGGGCAGGGACCCUGUGUAAAAAGGCUGGUGAAGUGUUCCUCUUCCAAAGGCGUAUGGAUUAGUGGAUUGUGCUCUCACCAAUCCUCUUAAGGCCUGGUUCUGCCCACCCUCCCCUGCUACAUCCUCUGGGAAUCCCAGUGAAGUGUGGGCAAAAAAAAAUAAGUCAGCUUCCCUCUCUGGGCCCCAGGAAGGAGCUGACGUAGAAAAGCAUCACCUCCUGCACCUCCCUUUCUCUACCAUGAGAUUCCCAUAGCAACCACCUCUCAACCCCCCAAGACAUAAGCAUCCAGAAAAGCUGAGCUGACCCAAGCCUCUCCUGCACCUGGACAGGGCCAUGCCACAGGUGAAGUACCUGGCUGUCCAAGAGCCAGCUGGAGCAGCUCCAGGGAACCCAAGUCCGGCACCUCUUCAUUGCCCCUCCCUGUUGUAUGGCUCCCAUCCUUGUACACUUUGAACUCAGGGACCCACCAGGCAAAGGGGACAGGGUCUUCCUCCAGGGAAGCUUCUCACCAACUAGACAGCUUGGAGAGCAAUCUUAGGAUCCCACUGGAGGUCGAGUCCCUUACUUCUCAAGCACCUAAAUAAAAUGCACCCCGUCCUUCACACUGGUCCCACAAUUUGUAUAGAACACAGAUGCUGGCAUGAACUUGGCUCAAUGAAGAUAUAUCAAAUGGGGCAGUGGUGAGCUACUGUUUAGAAAACUCAUUGGUCUGGUGCCUUCUGUUACCUCAUCCUGCCCAACUCUAACGCAGAGGAAGCACAACAAAGAGGUACUCAGAGCCAGAAGUGUCCCUGUUCCCCAUGACCCACCAUACAUGGCCUAAUACAGAGCUUGACAAGGAAAGGAUCCACUCUCUGGAACUUAAUAGGGACUGCCUUACUGAUUUGUCUUUAAUUCACAGCUCUGCCCCAGAACCUAUGAGUCUAGAGAUACCCCCAGCCUGACUUGAGCCACCUGGGCUCCUUGGGGCAGCCAGCCAAUCCUCUGCUCAACACAUUUUAUUGCUAAGGACAAGGUGAUGCACCAGUUUUCAAAAUAAUUUGGUUUAUAGUGUUCAUACGUAACAAAAAAGGGGAAGUAUUAUAAAUCUUGAUUCUUGUAUACACAGGGUAUUGGUGUGAGGCCCUCCAAUCCUGGGCCCAGGCAAACAAAUGCAUGAAGAGCAAAAACCUGUUUAACCCCUUCAGUAUUGCCCUCUCGUCCCACCCCCACCCCAAAAUCAGCUCCCUCCCACCCACAGUGGGCCUCCAAUGGCCCCAGGUUUUCAUCCUAACCCUCCCAGCCCCUGCAUGAUUGCAAUUUUCUGUUGACAGAAUCACCCACCAGGCUUUGCCUGCUUCCAUCAUUAAAAUCCUCACUUCAGGGUAAUCCCACUCACAUCCUCCAAUACUGUGCCACAGGGGCUCUGCACCUAGAGUGUUGUGGGCACACACCGUUAUUAUCCCCAUGUUCUUUUUCAGGGGAAGACAAAGAGGUGGCAUAAACUCCUUAGCAUCUCAAUACUGCAGCUUUGCCAGCACUGUCUUGAGGCUGUUCGAGGCCUGGACAGAUGCCACACCCAUCUCCAGCCAACCCCCAGGAGCCCUUACUCAGCUCAGCUGAGGGCAGAAUUUCACAUUUUGUUUGCCCUGCAUAGGCAAGGAAGAAAGUAAAGGCCAGGGGCUGGCAGAAGCUGGUCCAGACCAAACACACACACACACACACACACACACACACACACACACAGGCACACACA